GUGAAAUGAUGAUUUUGUUUAUCCAUUCGCUGAGUGCGCUGCACUGACCUUCUUCCCAGCUUCAGUUCCUGUUCUGGGAACUUGGGGCUGAGUAGCCUCCAAUGUCUUGCUGUCUGCAGUGUUCUAUUGCAGAUUGCUUGUGUUGGUAGACUAUUACUGGUAAGAAUGGCUGGUGUCAGCAGGGAUGGGUCUCUCUGGGUUCCAUCUCACCAAGAUGAGUGGUGCAAAUCUGAUCAC